AACACAAUAAGAUAGAGAGAAGGAGAUGAGUGCGGGGUGAGAGAUUAGAUGAUAAUGUUUCUUUUUGCAUGAAAAAUAACAUGUCAUGCAAGAAAGAGGGGGUAGGGGGAUUAAUGGUGGAGGGGAGUAGAUUGGUGUUACAAAGCUCAUUAAUUGAUGAAAUAUAAUGCAUGUAAUUAAAUGUGGAGAGGUGAAGGGUUGAGCAUUUAGAAUUGGAGAUUAAUGGUGGAGGGGAGUGGAUUGGAAUUACAAAGCUCACUAAUUGAUAGAAUAUGAUGCAUGCAUUAAAUAUGGAGAGAUGAAGGGUUUAGCAUAGUAUUUAGAAGUGAGGAUUAAUAGUGGAGGGGAGUGGAUUGGAGUUACAAAACUCAAAUAUAAAAUAUAAUGCAUGUAAUUAAAUAUGAAAAGGUGAAGGGUUAAGUGGAGAAGAAACGUAAAUUUUAUAUUGAGAAUUCAUAUAAGAGAUAAAUAUUAUCUAUUAACCUAAGAAUGAAGGGUUUCUUGCCACGUGGCAAGAAACAUUGUGGAGUCAUUAUGUUUAAUAGAUAAUUUCAGUCACACAUAUUACAGUUAUAUUUAUUUAUUCUUAUUCAGAGUACCAAUCAUCAAAAUCUUUUAACCAAUGAGCGAAAUUCUACCGAUAGAAUUUCAACCUUUCCAAAAAUAAAAAAACAA
rnacentral:lncRNA from 1 species